rnacentral:rRNA from 1 species
GGUAAUUCUGGAGCUAAUACAUGCACAAAAACUCCCAACGCAAGGAGGGAGCGCAUUUGUUCGCCACAAAACCAAGCCCCCUCGGGGGUUGAGUGUUGAAUCAGAGCAACUAAGCUGAGCGCACGGUCUUGCACCGGCGCCGUAUCAUUCGAGCUUCUGCCCUAUCAACUUUCGACGGUAGUGUCUCUGGCUACCGUGGUGGUGACGGGUAACGGAGGAUCAGGGUUCGACUCCGGAGAAGGGGCCUGAGAAAUGGCCACUAUGUCUAAGGAUAGCAGCAGGCGCGCAAAUUACCCACUCUCAGCAUGAGGAGGUAGUGACGAGAAAUAACGAGGCCGUUCUCAUACGAGGCCGGCCAUUGGAAUGGAAGAGGUUUAAAACCCCCAUUGAGUAUCUACGAGAGGGCAAGUCUGGUGCCAGCAGCCGCGGUAAUUCCAGCUCUCGAAAUGCAUAGAACCAUUGCUGCGGUUAAAAAGCUCGUAGUUGGACUUCCGUCGCACCACCGGUCCAUCUCCGGAUGCGCACUGGUCGGCGUGGCUUUUGGCCGGUUUCAUCUGGCAGUUGGCUUCGCUGUCGGCUGUCAGGGACUGGCGAAUUUACCUUGAACAAAUCAGAGUGCUCAAAACAAGCGUUUGCUUGAAUGUUCUUGCAUGGAAUAAUAGAAGAGGAUCACGGUCCGAUUUUAUUGGCUUUGCGGACUGAGAUAAUGGUUAACAGAGACAAACGGGGGCAUUUCUAUUGCGGCGUGAGAGGUGAAAUUCUUGGACCGCCGCAAGACAAACUACAGCGAAAGCACUUGCCAAGAAUGUCUUCAUUAAUCAAGAACGAAAGUCAGAGGAUCGAAGGCGAUCAGAUACCGCCCUAGUUCUGACCGUAAACGAUGCCAACUCGCGAUCCGCCGGCGGAGCAUUUCGCCCUGGUGGGGAGCGUCCCGGAAACGAAAGUCUUCCGGUUCCGGGGGAAGUAUGGUUGCAAAGCUGAAACUUAAAGGAAUUGACGGAAGGGCACCACCAGGAGUGGAGCCUGCGGCUUAAUUUGACUCAACGCGAGGAACCUCACCCGGCCCGGACACCGUAAGGAUUGACCGAUCGACAGCUCAUUCAUGAUUCGGUGGUUGGUGGUGCAUGGCCGUUCUUAGUUCGUGGAUUUGAUCUGUCUGCUUUAUUGCGAUAACCGAGCGAGACCCACGCCUGCUAACUAGUCCGUGCAUUGCCAUUGUGCACGCCGACUUCUUAGAGGGAUUCGCGGUGUUCAGCCGUUUGAAAGUGGGCAAUAACAGGUCUGUGAUGCCCUUAGAUGUCCGGGGCUGCACGCGGGCUACACUGGCAAAACCAGCGUGCCUGUCCUGCCCCGAAGGAGGUGGGUAAACCCGGCAAAAUUUGCCGUGAUUGGGAUCGGAGAUUGCAAUUAUUUUCCGUGAACGAGGAAUUCCAAGUAAGUGCGAGUCAUCAGCUCGCGUUGAUUACGUCCCUGCCCUUUGUACACACCGCCCGUCGCUGCCCGGGACUGAGCCGAUUCGAGAAAUCCGGGGAUCGCCGGUCUGAUGUCUUCGGGCGUCUCUCUGGUGAGAACCGGCUUAAUCGCAUCAGUUUGAACCGGGC